UACGGAGGGUGCGAGCGUUACCCGGAUUUACUGGGUGUAAAGGGCGUGUCGGCGGUCUCUCAAGUCCAAUGCUAAAGACCGAAGCUCAACUUCGGGGGUGCGUUGGAUACUGUGAGGCUAGACGGUCGGAGAGGGUAGCGGAAUUUCCGGAGUAGCGGUGAAAUGCGCAGAUACCGGAAGGAACGCCAAUAGCGAAAGCAGCUACCUGGACGAUUUGUGACGCUGAGGCGCGAAAGCGUGGGGAGCAAACCGG
rnacentral:rRNA from 1 species